CACUUGCAGACAGAGAAACUGAGGUCUUCCA
rnacentral:piRNA from 1 species